UGGGCGUGCGAUCGAGAGCAGGAGCCAAGGAAGAGCUAAAACCCUAACAACCUAAAAUCAUCAAAUUGAAAAGGGAAUCAAGGGCUAAUCGAAUGCAUGGGUCUAGAUACCCUUUAAUCUAAGUGUAUUGAUCAUAAGGAGUCAUGUCAACAUCGACACAAACAUGGAAGCGCCAUGGGUCGAAGGUAACUACGGAAGCUAUGUGUAAAUUCGGAUGCACGAGGUACACUAUAAAGGGCCUUGAGAAGGUUCAAGGAAUUGGAAUGCAUGAUUGCACAUGGAAAGCUGAUUUGAACAAGAUUAGCACGAGAAGAAGGAAUACGGAGUGGUUAUUUGAUUGAGUAUGAUUAACUUAGGAAUGACGUCACCAAAUCUUAAUAUUGUGUAUGUAUGUGGUGAAUGCAGGUUGCGCGGAUAUAACAUCAUUAUGAAGAAUAGGACGAUUGGAGAUCGAGUCAAGAGCAAGGAUUGUACGGGAAGUGAUGUGUGUUGGUGUGAAUAUAAUUUUAGUUAUA